GGCUUAUAAUUGAAGUCUAGUAUGAAUGGGAACUCGGGGAUAUUCUGUCUUUUAUUUACGAUUUGAAAUUACUAAUUAAGUGAAAAUUCUUAACCUUUCAGAAAAAAGACGAGAAGACCCUAGAAAUUUUUUAUUAUAUAUUUUGUUGGGGCGACAAGGUAACAUAAAACUUACCUAUGCAAUAGGAAAUUUUUUAGUUGGGUAAAUAAAUUACUCUAGGGAUAACAGCAUAAUAUUUUAAAGUUUGUGACCUCGAUGUUGGACUAGGA
rnacentral:rRNA from 1 species